rnacentral:rRNA from 1 species
AUGGCCGGACUGGAAGAAAUAAAGGCACUCUUGGCCACUAACCCAGUCUUGACCGCGCCAAAUAUUGGCGAACCCAUGCUAUUAUACAUAGCCGAAACAAACCAAGUUGUGAGCGCAAUGCUCGUCGUCGAACGAGAGGCAGACGGACACAAGUUCCCGCUCCAAAAGCCGGUAUAUUAUGUGUCCACUGUCCUCACUCUAUGUAAAUCUCGGUACCCGCACUAUCAAAAGAUAGCAUAUGCGGUCUUCAUGGCACCCCGGAAACUACGACACUACUUACAAGAGUGUUCGAUCACGGUGGCCUCCGAAGUUCCACUCAAUGACAUAAUAAAUAACCGCGACGCAACAGGCCGAAUUGCUAAAUGGGCUAUUGAGCUCCUUCCGUUCGACAUAACAUACAAACCACGACGGGCCAUUAAGUCGCAAGUACUGGCUGACUUCGUCGCCGAAUGGACAGAAGCCGAACUCCCUAAAGAGUACGACGCGUACUCAAAUUGGAUCAUGCAUUUCGACGGCUCCAAAAUGCUGGCCGAAUUAGGAGCGGGUGUUGUCCUGACAUCCCCCACCGAAGACACGAUACAGUACGUCCUCCAAAUAUUAUUCACAGACUCCAACAAUGAAGCCGAAUACGAGGCUCUAUUGCAUGGUCUUCGGAUGGCAGUCUCCAUGGGCAUUCAACGCCUCGAAGUGCGCGGGGACUCGAACCUCGCAAUAUCUUAG